rnacentral:lncRNA from 1 species
CCACCGCCGCCACACCACCGACACCUGUCACCCCCUCAUAGGCACCGACACCCGCCACCUCAUCAUGUUUACCCGCCACCUCAGCAGAAUCAGCCGCCACCACCUCAGCUUACUUAUCCACCACCUCAUCAUGCUUAUCCGCCACCUGAGCAGAGACAGCCGCCAACUCAUCAUAAUUAUCCGCCACCUCAGCAGAGACAGCCGCCACCUCAUCAUAAUUAUCCGCCACCUCAGCAGAGACAGCCGCCACCUCAGCAUGCUUAUCCGCCACCGACGCACUAUUCAUCACAGCCCCCACCACCUCACCUCUACUUGAAUCCGCCGCCGCCGCCGCCGCCACCGCAGGGAUACGCACUGCCAGUGUACGUGAAAUCGCCACCGCCGCCGUCGCCGCAUCUGUAG